UACAGAGGGGGCUAGCGUUGCUCGGAAUCACUGGGCGUAAAGCGCACGUAGGCGGCUUCUUAAGUCAGGGGUGAAAUCCUGGAGCUCAACUCCAGAACUGCCUUUGAUACUGAGGAGCUUGAGUCCGGGAGAGGUGAGUGGAACUGCGAGUGUAGAGGUGAAAUUCGUAGAUAUUCGCAAGAACACCAGUGGCGAAGGCGGCUCACUGGCCCGGUACUGACGCUGAGGUGCGAAAGCGUGGGGAGCAAAC
rnacentral:rRNA from 1 species